UACGGGAGGCAGCAGUGAGGAAUAUUGGUCAAUGGACGUGAGUCUGAACCAGCCAAGUAGCGUGCAGGAUGACGGCCCUAUGGGUUGUAAACUGCUUUUAUGCGGGGAUAAAGUGCGCCACGUGUGGCGUUUUGUAGGUACCGCAUGAAUAAGGACCGGCUAAUUCCGUGCCAGCAGCCGCGGUAAU
rnacentral:rRNA from 1 species